rnacentral:tRNA from 1 species
GGCAUGGUGGCAUAGUGGUUAGCACUGUUGCCUCGCAAGAAGUAAGUUCCGGGUUUGAAUCCGGGCCCGAUCG